UCGCGUCUGCUGUGAAAACUGGAGGCUCAACCUCCAGCCUGCAGUGGGUACGGGCAAACUAGAGUGCGGUAGGGGAGAUUGGAAUUCCUGGUGUAGCGGUGGAAUGCGCAGAUAUCAGGAGGAACACCGAUGGCGAAGGCAGAUCUCUGGGCCGUAACUGACGCUGAGGAGCGAAAGCAUGGGGAGCGAACAGGAUUAGAUACCCUGGUAGUCCAUGCCGUAAACGUUGGGCGCUAGAUGUGGGGACCAUUCCACGGUUUCCGUGUCGCAGCUAACGCAUUAAGCGCCCCGCCUGGGGAGUACGGCCGCAAGGCUAAAACUCGAAGGAAUUGACGGGGGCCCGCACAAGCGGCGGAGCAUGCGGAUUAAUUCGAUGCAACGCGAAGAACCUUACCAAGGCUUGACAUUUACGAGAACGCUGCAGAAAUGCAGAACUCUUUGGACACUCGUAAACAGGCGGUGCAUGGUUGUCGUCAGCUCGUGUCGUGAGAUGUUGGGUUAAGUCCCGCAACGAGCGCAACCCUCGUUCUAUGUUGCCAGCGCGUUAUGGCGGGAACUCAUAGGAGACUGCCGGGGUCAACUCGGAGGAAGGUGGGGAUGACGUCAAAUCAUCAUGCCCCUUAUGUCUUGGGCUUCACGCAUGCUACAAUGGCCGGUACAAAGGGCUGCAAUACCGUAAGGUGGAGCGAAUCCCAAAAAGCCGGUCUCAGUUCGGAUUGUAGACUGCAACUCGUCUACAUGAAGUUGG
rnacentral:rRNA from 1 species